rnacentral:rRNA from 1 species
UUUGAACGCUGGCGGCAUGCCUUACACAUGCAAGUCGAACGGUAACAGGUCUUCGGAUGCUGACGAGUGGCGAACGGGUGAGUAAUACAUCGGAACGUGCCCGAUCGUGGGGGAUAACGGAGCGAAAGCUUUGCUAAUACCGCAUACGAUCUACGGAUGAAAGCAGGGGACCGCAAGGCCUUGCGCGGACGGAGCGGCCGAUGGCAGAUUUGGUAGUUGGUGGGAUAAAAGCUUACCAAGCCGACGACCUGUAGCUGGUCUGAGAGGACGACCAGCCACACUGGGACUGAGACACGGCCCAGACUCCUACGGGAGGCAGCAGUGGGGAAGUUUGGACAAUGGGCGCAAGCCUGAUUCAGCCAUGCCGCGUGCAGGAUGAAGGCCUUCGGGUUGUAAACUGCUUUUGUACGGAACGAAAAGACUCUUUCUAAUAAAGAGGGUCCAUGACGGUACCGUAAGAAUAAGCACCGGCUAACUACGUGCCAGCCGCCGCGGUAAGAC